GUGCUCAGCUCCCGUCGGCAGCAGGGCCUCAUCCGGCCCAGGCCUGCCCUCCGCCGCCGCGGCCCGCCCCGCCCGAAAAACACUCACUUGCCAGCCGCGGUCCAUCGAGUCCCCCGCUACUGCCUCCUCCGCCGGCUGCGGCUCCGGUCCCCGGGUCCCCCAGGUCCGGCUUCUUGGGCCCGGGGGGCGGCCCAGCUCCCCCGCCCGCGACGGCUCCCGGCGGAAAGCCGGCCACGGGUGCACCAGCCAGAGCCAGGGGGACGCUGUUGCUAUGGAGGCCGAGGCCCGGGGCAGCCCCGGCGGCAGGGUCCUCAUGCAGGAACUGACACUCCUCCCCGUAGAAGCAAGUCUUAUCCUUAGCGUAGUAGCGGCAGUACUUCAGCUUCACUCCUACCGCCGCCCCGCCGGGGACACCCCCGACCCCCGGCGGGGCCACCACCGCCACCGCCGCCGCCAGCGAGGAGGAGGAAGGGGAGGCGGCGGCCGAGGGGGGCGGGAGGCCGCCGCCACUGUUCAUGGCAACGCCGCAGCCUCGUCUUCCGCCGCCGCCCGAGGAGCCGCCGCCGCCACCACCAUAGACGGGGGAGGAAAGGAAGACGCUGCCGGUGCCGGAUAAAAGCCUGGGCGGGGGCCGCGCGGGACGACGGGGUGAGCGCGCGGGCCCAGACGGGGACUUCGAGGGCGCGGGCAGGGGAAGAGGGAGCGGCAGCGGCAAGCGGGUGGGGAAGGCGGAGGGGCCGGUUUAUUUUUAAAUUCUGCCUCCACUCGCUCUCUCGCGCUCUGGUUCCUCCGAGUUGUUUAUUCCAUUUUCCUCUUCCUGAGACGGCCGUCGCCGCUGCGCGUGCGCGCUGAGACGCGAGGGCUUAUGGGUAGCGGGAGCGCUAGGGGAAGCCUGGCCGGCGUCGGGCCCCCGGGGGCAUCCGCGAGCUAUCGGCGGUUGGACCGGCGGCUCUCGGUGGGGUUCCGGACGCGGAUCUGGCGCCGAAUUCUCACGAGACCUGAUACCUUCCUUAUUUGUAUAUUCUCUUACUUAAAAAGCCAGAUGUCUUUUUUUUUUUUUUCAUUGAAAAGAGAAAAUUGACAAGGUAAACGGUCGUUUGGAGGGGCCACCUGGGGACGCGGCCCGAGCCCUGGCUCUACCUGAAGAAUAUCUUCUAUUUGCCACACUUCCUCUCCCCGUUUCCUUUCUUCGCCCCUCUCCUCUUUCCCCUUCCCCUCGAAGGUAAUGAGAACUACUGGACCGAUUACGCUAACCUCUUGGCCCUUUGUCAAAAAAUGGAGCCAAAAAGGUUGAUUUAGACAGACCCCCUGCUCAGUGCAGCACCUGUUAUUCUCUGUAUUUAUAUUACCAAGGGCCUUCGGUAAAUUAUGAAAAAUAGGAUGCCACCUGGGACAACACUGCUUAGACAGCACUGGAAGACCUUUAUAAAUAUACUAGGUUGCUUUUCUCCAAUCAGCCUAGCCUUGAUUUGAAAUUCAUUUUUAUUUUUUUUGAGACGGUGAAAUUCAUUUUUAAAAGAUAGUUUUAACCUCAGCGAUCUCUGAUGUUUGCGCUAAUACCCUUUUAAAGGCUUUCAGAAAUUUUAAAGAAUUGCUAUGAAAGGAAAAGUAACAUUCUAGUUUUUCUCUGUAAAAGAGGUUCACAAACGGCAGAUCGCUGUUAUGAAAAGGAGGGGUGGAAGUAUUUAAGGAAUUGUGGCAAACAAAGUCACAGAAGAAUGGAUAUAAGCAAAAGUAGCACACUGAAAAAAAUGGGGAAAAGUGGAGUCUAGAUCACAAACUGGUAAGCUUGGUGAUGUUCUCUAGCCAAAUUCGAAGGUAAUAACAUUGUAUUAUGGCUUUCUGUUUAAAAGCAGUUUCGCUUAUUUGAUUAUUCAACAAAUCUUUAUUAACACGCAUUACGUGUACCAGAAACUGUGGUACACUUAACUGUGGAGCUGGGGAAGCAAAAGUGAACAUGCCGCCUUAAGUGAGUUCAGAUGGCUUAUCUUCCGGUUGGGGAGGCAUCAAGUACACAGGUCCGUUGUAAACCAGUGUCUUAAGUGCUAACCUUAUCACAUUUGCUAUUAGAGGAUAUUAAACAUGUCAGACUUCUUGGAGAAAGUUGAUAUUUUCAUGUUCCAAGUUUGGGAACAUCAUUGAAUUCAGACAGAUCUGGAUUGAAACAGAUUAAAGUGCCUACACUUUAAUAAAAAAAAAAAAAAAAAAAAA
rnacentral:lncRNA from 1 species